CAAAAACAUUUCCUUUAGAAUAUAUUUAAAGGUAUUGCCUGCCCAAUGUUAAAUUAAUAAAUGGCUGCGGUAUCUUAACUGCACUAAGGUAGCAUAAUUAAUUGUCUUUUAAAUGGUGACCUGUUUGAACGGCUUAAUGAGAAAAAAAUUUUCUUUUAACUAUAUUAAAAUUAUAUUUCAAGGUUAAAAUACCUGAUUAUAAAAAAAAGACGAGAAGACCCUGUUGAGUUUUACAUUUAUAAAAAUGUUAAAAUGGGAAAUUUAACCUUUUAUUAAGGUUUGAUUGAUCCUGGAGUUAGUUUAUAAUUAAUUACUCUGGAUAUAGGAUAAAAUUACCACAGGGAUAACAGGACAAUAUAUACUAAGAGUUCUAAUCGAAGUAGAUGGUUGUUACCUCGAUGUUGAAUCGAAAUAUCUUUUUGAUGCAGCAGUCAAUAAAGUAGGUCUGUUCGACCUUUUAAAUUUCACGUGAUCUG
rnacentral:rRNA from 1 species